GAUGAACGCUGGCGGCGUGCUUAACACAUGCAAGUCGAACGGAAAGGCCCUGCUUGCAGGGUACUCGAGUGGCGAACGGGUGAGUAACACGUGGGUGAUUUGCCCUGCACUUCGGGUUAAGUCUGGGAAACUGGGCCUAUUACCGGAUAGGAGCCAUUUUUAGUGUGAUGGUUGGAAAGUUUUUUCGGUGUAGGAUGAGCUUGCGGCCUAUCAGCUUGUUGGUGGGGUAAUGGCCUACCAAGGCGGCGACGGGUAGCCGGCCUGAGAGGGUGGACGGCCACACUGAGACUGAGGGGCGGCACAAGCUGCGACGGGAGGCAGCUGGGGGGAAUAUUGCACAAGGGGCGCAGGGCUGGUGAAGAAGGGCCGCGUGGGGGAUAACGGCCUUCGGGUUGUAGACUCGUUUCGCGAGGAACGAAGCUUUUUGUGACGGUACCUAGAUAAGAAGCACCGGCUAACUACGUG
rnacentral:rRNA from 1 species